GGUAACAUCUAGUCUGGUGCUUCAUUGCACAGGUACUGAGCGUCCACUGCAGAUGUAUAGAAGGUUUCCUUUCUAAGUGACCCUUCAGUACCUUGGUUUCCGAAUUUUUGUACAAGUUAUCUCACCACAAGGCCACACUGAUUGUUCAUCAGAAAGCCUCGGUGUUAUAUUGAAGUUUCCAUCAUGCAUGUAUGAACAAGUUUUGUCGCAUUAUACUGUUUGUAUAAACUACUAUACUUCUCAGCUG